AUAUAUUUUUUGGGGAGCUUAUAGUGAUAGGCUGAGAAAGGAAUGUUAUUCCUGACCCUUUGAACCUGAUUUGGAUAAUUCCAACGGAGGGAGAUUUCUAAAAUCUAUU
rnacentral:ncRNA from 2 species